rnacentral:tRNA from 1 species
GCCGACUUAGCUCAGUAGGUAGAGCACUUCACUAGUAAUGAAGGGGUCGGGCGUUCGAAUCGUCUAGUCGGCA